AUUCUGGCUCAGGAUGAACGCUAGCGGCAGGCUUAACACAUGCAAGUCGAGGGGCAUCGGGAGUAGCAAUACUGCCGGCGACCGGCGCAAGGGUGCGUAACGCGUGAGCAACAUGCCCGUAUCAGGGGGGAUAAUCCAUGGAAACGUGGUCUAAUACCCCAUAGUAAUUAUGUAAGGCAUCUUAUAUAAUUUAAAGCUUUGGUGGAUACGGAUUGGCUCGCGUGACAUUAGCUGGAUGGUAAGGUAACGGCUUACCAUGGCUACGAUGUCUAGGGGUUCUGAGAGGAAGGUCCCCCCACACUGGAACUGAGACACGGUCCAGACUCCUACGGGAGGCAGCAGUGAGGAAUAUUGGACAAUGGAUGGAAAUCUGAUCCAGCCAUGCCGCGUGCAAGGAAGACGGCCCUAUGGGUUGUAAACUGCUUUUGUAGGGGAAUAAAGUGCAGGACGUGUCCUGUUUUGUAUGUACCCUGAGAAUAAGGAUCGGCUAACUCCGUGCCAGCAGCAGC
rnacentral:rRNA from 1 species